rnacentral:lncRNA from 1 species
UUGCCUCCCUCCAAGCCAUGUUGUAGCCACUCUGCACAAUGGGUUCUGCCUUGAGCCUCAGACAUGAGGAUACUACUCUCCUAGAGAGAGUAGGGCCUCCUUAGGGUCAUAGCAGGGCUGCAGUUUCCAGGGCAGGAAGGCUAACCCGCAUGCAGGCUGGAGGUUAGACACAGAGCUCAGCCAGGCCUCCUAGGGAAUGGAGAAGAGGCUCUGAAAUUUGCAGUAUCAGGUUUCAGAAAACAUGGGGUCAGGGUCAGCAGAGCAGCUGGUAGUGGGGAAGGCCAGGCCCAGCUAAUUUCCUGUCAGAAUGGCCCAGAGGCCCCAGCCCCUCUCUGGGCUGGCCACAGGGGAGGAGAUGCCGGGAAUGGCUCACAUUCCUCUGGCUGGGGCUGCACUGAACCUCCAACCUCGGGGGACCUGUGGGGAGUGAGGAGGUGGAUCUCUGAGGCCAGAGUCGGGGAGUCUCUGCAGGGACCAGGCAUCUGGUGUGCAACCCUUAGGCUGGAAUGGGGCCAGAGACUGUAGAGCAGACACAAAAAAGAGCAUCACAGCUGCUGAAGCUUUAAGAGAAACGAGCCCAACCUCACUUUCAGAUGAGGAAAUAGGCUCAGACAGGACCAGCUCUCAUCAGGAUCACAUGAGCAUCCCUGUUCUAAGCCCUGAACUCUGUUUCUUCUGGCCAGGCCUGCAUUUCCUGGAAGGCCCUGCUUUGCUGAGCUGUGUGACAGUGGGGGGCAAGCUGGGCCAGGCCUGUGCUCCUCUUGGCAGGAACCCUUGCUUUCGGAUAGAGAUAUAUGCUUCUCAGGCAGUCUGUGGGGUGGACAGCUAGUGCUGAGAGGGUGUAAGGGUGCUGAGUCGGCUGUGGGCCCCUCUGUCCUCUCCUUGGAGGCCUUAGCUCAUUCCACCAGCAGAGGAAACUUUAUGUCCUGGUCCAGUCCCCAGGAGGGUGAGGUCAUAGAAGUGUGCUCUUGGCCUUGAAUGACCUUCUAAGUGGCCCGGCCUGGCUGGGUGGGAGGUAGAGGUUUCAGGUCCCCUGUACUGUCCAUUCUCUGGCCCCAAGAUUGGCCUGGUUGAAGUAAGAUGGCUGGGGAGGGUGAGACCAGGACUCAGUCACUCAAGCCUGGGUCUGAACCCACCUCCAUCAGACACUAUCGUCUGACCGGGGCAGGUCAUCUGACCUCUCCAAACCAUGGAGCCUUCUUCGCCCAGCUACCUCCUUCCUGGCCUAAGACUUAGCAUAAAUGUCAUUUAUUCAGGUGUCAACCUGAAAAUAGUCAUGACAAGAGGCAAACGAGUGUGUAUUUGGGAUCAGAGAAUUGCAGUUUGGGGAGCACAGAUUCUGGCAGCAACCAGCGAAGCGUCUUGCCUUUAGGUGAAAGCAAGGGGUUUUAUGGGAAGGAGGAAGGCUGGUAAUUCCAUGACUUGGUACAAACAGGCUGCACUGCUGUGUGCACUGACUAUUCUGUUAACACACAGAACUAUUCCUGGUACGCUUUAGUUAACUGCUCUGUCUUCAGAAAGUCCACAACCAACAGUUUUUGGCCAGGAUGCCUGCUGUCCUGUUGACUCUGUGGACAAUCGCUUAACACAACUGCUGUUUUGCCCGGUUCAAACAAGGGCAGGUAAGGCCGUUUCUCCAUAGUGGCCUCCCUGACUCUAUUUUGAAAUGACUGCAGUCACAUCAGUUUUUCAUGCUGGAAAGUCUUCUCUGGAUGCCCACCCAGGGCUGGACUAGGAUCUCUUCCCAUUUUUCUGCAGGACCCUAGCUGUCCCACCAGGUCACAGCUCUGAUUAUGCUAGAUAUCAUACCUUGCAGGUACAGAUAGUGGCUUAUUUUACUUGGGGUCCAAAGUAGCCAGAACGGGCACCAGCACAUAGCAACUACUAAUAAAAGCAUGUUGACUGAAUGAAUCAUGGGCAGACAAAUGCACAGGAAGAUGGACGGUCUGAUUUGGGGUGACUGGCUCAUUCAUAGUAGGCUCCAUCCUACAGUAGGAGGUUUGAGGGGAACAUGUGCAUGGUCAGGCUUGCCGUGGCACCUCACAUACUGAAGCCCCAGCAGAGAAAUAACUCCCAGCUGCCUCCCACUGGUGACGUCUCAAGUGAUAGGGUCACAGCAGGGACCCCCAGCCCCACCUGCUAAACUCAGCUGCCCCUAGGAAAUGUGGAUGUUGAGAGAGGAUGCCAAACACUGGUGGACUCUAGGUGAUAGGUGGGCUUGUGUCAGUGUGCACAUAAAGUGCCUGUGACACUAGGGUGGGUACAUGUGCAAGUGUACAUGGUGAACGUGCAUGCCCUUGUCUGUUGUCUGUGUGUCAGGAUGUGUUUGCAUGUAUGUGUGUGUGUGAGUGCCCCCAGCCCCCCAGGGUCUUGCAGUAACCCCCUGCAAGUACAGCCCCCGAAGCCCACAUCUCCCAUGGCACUUCAGCCCUCUGCCUCCCUCUUGCCUCUCCUUGGGCCAUCCCGCAUCCAGUGUCCCUGUCCUGGGCUCCUGUGCCCUGCACACACUUCUGUCGCUGCACACAUCACUGUGGGGCAUUUGUGUCAUGCCGCAUUAGUUUCCUGUUGCUGUUCUAACACAUUACUACAGAUUUAGUGGCUUAAAACAACAGAUUUAUUGCUCUCUGGGCUCGGAUCUAGUUUGUGGCAACAUGGUUAAAUGCACCAAGAAGGUUGGAAUCAUUGGUAAAUAUGGGACCUGUUAUGGUGCCUCCCUCAGGAAAAUGGUGAAGAAAAUAAGAAAUAAGUCAGCAUACCAAGGACACUUUCUCCUUCUGUGGCAAAACCAAGACGAAGAGGUGAGCUGUGGGGAUCUGGCCUCGUGGUUCCUGCAUGAAAAUGGUAGCCAGUGGUGCCCGGCCCUACAACACCACUUCUCCUGUUACAGUAAAGUCAGCCAUCAGAAGACUGAAGGAGUUGGCAGGCCAGUAGAAGCUCUACCAUUUGAAACAUAGCUAGCCUAUAAUAAAUGGGUUAAUUUCUGUAACAAAACAGAUACAUUAUCUUACAGUUCUGAAGGUCUGAAGUCCAAAUGGGUCUCAAGGUGUCAGCAGGCCUGCAUUCCUUCUGGAGGCUUCAGGGGAGAAUGUUUCCUUGCCUCCUCCAGCUUCCAAAGGCUGCCCACAUUCCUUGGCCCAUGGCCCCUUCCAUCUUCAAAGCCUGCAAUGAUUGGCCAUGUUUCUCAUGUUGCAUCUCUCUGCCACUCACUUCUGCCUCCUCCUUCAACUUAUAAGCACCCUUGUGAUGACACUGGACCCAUCCAAGAUGACCUUGAGGUCAGCUGAUGAGCAGCCUUAAUUUCAUUUGCAACCUUAAUUGUCCUUUGCCAUGUCACGUAGCAUGUUCACAAAUCCUGGGGAUUUGGAUGCACACGUCUUCGGGCAUGGGGUGCUUUAUUCUGUACACCACAGAUGGUCUGUCUCUUUUGGUUGUGAGCUCUUUGGGCCUGUGCUGUAUCUUACUCAUCCAGAGACUUCUUGAGACUGAAAGAGUGCCCAUGCCCAGGCUGUACUAGGUGUUUAUUACAUAUUUGAGUAAAUCUGAUUCAAUCAAUGCUAUGUUGAGAAUCCAUUUGUCCUGGGUACUUUUAUCCAGGUACACAGCUUUCAUCCCCAUUUUAUAGGUGAGGAAAAUAAGGCUCAGAGAAGUUAGGCCAAAAAAGCUACUAUGUGACAGAGCCAGAAGCUUCAGUAUAUACUGCCCUCAGGUAGAAAACGCUGACACCUUUGUUCCUUUGGGUCUAGAGAUCCAAAAGAGAAGUACCUGGACCUUGGGUGGUGGCCAUGAAAAUGCACCUCUCAGAUUUCAGACUAGCCCCCACGACUGUGCUCCGAUAGCCAUCACAGUUUUUACGCUGAGGCCCACAGGCUGCUGUCAGCCAGUGACUAAGGUGGGUUUCUUCUAGGGAGAUACAAGAUUUCCCUGGUGGGCAGUUUUGGCACACAGGGCUCCCCACUGGCCUUGCUAUUUUUAGAUCUGAACUGCAGCCCAAGACUCUUCCACCCCACCUUCCAUCCUCUUGUCUCUUGUUCACAGGGGUCAAACCUACAUCACUGAUGUCCCUCUCACCACCCCCACCCCACCCCGCUCCCUGACCAGUGUCCUGCUCACCUACUCUCAUACCUGUUCACUCUGUAAGUCUUUUGCAUGCAGAGUCCUGUCUUAGUGGAAGGACCAGAACUAACAUAAGCGGUCUGAGGAAACAGUGGCAAGAUGGGGAUCUGGGACUGUCACAGCGGAUGGGGAGGAGGAUGCUGUCCUGGUUGAUGGGGGCCCCAGAUAGUCCCUAAAGCAAGGUAGCAGCUCAAAUAUUUCACUGGGAAUAUUUCAUUGGGAAUUUUCCAGUUUCCUGGAGGAGAAGAAUGUUGAGGUAGGUGUGAUAAUCCAGGCAUUCGAAAAAUAAGGGGGUUGGGAACAAUGCCCUCAAAAAGUUGGCUGGUUACUGUGAACUCAUGCUGAUGUUCUGCAGAGGGAUGAAGAGGGACUAUGGGCCACUGACAAGCAGUUAACAGGGAGGUGUGAGAGCCGGCAGGCCUCCACGGUAGCUUACAAAGAAGCCCUUAUCUCUGGCAGUGGAGAACAGAUAUAGCUGAGAGGCAGGCUGGAGAUAAGAGUUGCACAGAUAAGUCUGAUUGCUCAGCCAAGGUAGUUAUGUGAAGGUCAGGCCCUGGUGGGGAAAAACUGGAACCCUGAAACAUGAGCUAAAGACAUCAGGAUGGAUGCCCGUGAAGAUGUUGGUGCUGCAGCCUUCCUGACCCUUGAUGCUUGCAGAGAUGGCCAUCCCUCCUCCUAAGAGCUCCCAUCUCUGCUGUGCUGAAAGAUGCCACAGAGGCCUCACCCUUGCUGGGCAACAGGUACCCUCUCAGGUGCUGCCCCCACUUCCUCUCCUGGUAGCCUAGGACAGUAAUUAGGGUUGAAUUCCAGACUAAUCCAGCUGGGGACACACUGGGCCCGAUAAUGGAGGAAAGAGACACUACAUGAAAGAAUGGUAACUAUCACGGACACUGGCAGGAGCCAGGGGAAUGCUCCUGGGAUUGCAUUUUGGGAAUGCUUAAGGGGGCUGGGUGUGAGACUGGAAAAGCAAGCAUUCAGGGAUUUGGGGGCACUCUAUUGAGACACAGAUUUAAUACUCUAGAUGGGCCACUAGAGGAUGGGGAAGAUUCUGCUGGGGUGGCUCUUAGAAGCCUGGAAAAAGCAGUGGCCAACACUCAGUGAAAUGGAAAUACCCGAGUUUUCCUGGCAGAUGGUAAAGAAGAAAUUAAAGAAGCUGGCAAAAGUGGGUGUGCUGGAAUGGAUACAUUGUGUAAGGCCAGUAAUGACAGAGGGGCAGGAAAGGGGGCUCAACCCAUAGAAAGUUGCUGAGAAAGCUAACAGAGCAUGGUGUCCCUAGGGGCAAACCAGGCAGCCAAUAAGGCUCUGCUUAAUACCUGCAAUUUAAAUAUUAAAAAAAAAAAUUUUUUUUAACGUUUAUUUAUUUUUGAGACAGAGAGAGACAAAGCAUGAAUGGGGGAGGGUCAGAGAGAGGGAGACACAGAAUCUGAAACAGGCUCCAGGCUCUGAGCUGUCAGCACAGAGCCCGACGCGGGGCUCGAACUCACGGACCGCGAGAUCAUGACCCGAGCCGAAGUCAGCCGCUCAACUGACUGAGCCGCCCAGGCGCCCCAAUACCUGCAAUUUAAAAAGCAGACAGGAAUGGAGGUGCAGGAGGCAGGCGCAAGGGAAAUUCUUGGUCUCUUGCUCUGUCCCCAGACCUGAACCAAUUUGCAGAUAUGGGACCCACUGACUGAAGAGGAGGCCAGUGUCUAGUAAGAAGGACUCCGCAAAACAGCAACAAGUAUGUAUAGUGAUGGUUCCUGUUUUUCCCCAAAGGUGGGAAAUGUAUUUGGGUGACUGUUCACAAAAGAAAGGGGACUAGCAGACACAGAGGUUUAGUUGACAUCAACAUCUGGAGACUCAAAGUGUCAUCGUGGGCCCUUUUUUAGAAGGAGGCCUGUGGAGGUCAGGUAGAAAGUGGAGUUGUGGCUAAGGUCUGGUUUGCUGGGUCCACGAAGCUGCCCAGAAGGCCCUUAUACCCGACUGCUUAGUUAGAACUUACAUGCUCUGACCUGAAGGGAUCCCCACCUCAGGUCACUGGCUUACUGGAAAUCUCAGUAGAGAAGGCCAAGUACAAAUUUUUGAAAUUGCCAUUUCCCUGCUCCUUUGCCUUGCCCAAGACAGAAAAUAAAAAAACUCACCUCAUACCAGGGGAUGUGACAGAAGUUAAUGCCACCAUUAACAAUUUAAAGGAUGAAGGGGUCGUGGUCCCUUACCAUUUCUCCAUUUAAUUUGCCCAUCUGACCUCUGCAUGAAUCGGCUGGAUCUUGGAGCAAGACUAGACAGAUUGCCUCAGGUAUAACCAAGUAGGAGCCCUGCUGUGUGUCAGACAUGGAAUCACAGCUAGAGCAGAUUAAUAAAGCCAUAGGUAUGUGGUUUGCAGUCACUUGGUCAAUGUGUUCUUUUCCAUUCCAAUUAGAAAAGAUCAGAAACAGUUCCUAUUCACAUGGGAUGGGCAACAAUAUUCAUUUACAGUUUUGCCUCAGGGUUGUGUAAACUGCCUUUCCCUCUGUCUUAAUCCUAAGAGGUCAGGACCAUGUGGACAUCCCACAGAAUGUCACACCGAUCCAUUACAUCGAUGACCCGGUGCUGAUUAGGCAGGAUGAGUAAGAGGUGUUCCUAAGCUGGAGGCCAUGGUUAAGUCACAUGCACUUCCAAGUACAGCAUAUAAAACCUAUGAAUACCUAAGGACCUGCCACUUUAGUGAACUUUUUAAGCCGUUCAGUGGUCAGUAAAAGGAAGCAAAAGUAAAGAAUAAGAUAAAUUGUUGCAUAUUGUAUCUCUUGCCAUGGUGAAGAGAGCACAGUGCCUGGCAACCGUCUUUGGGUUAGAGGCAACAUAUAAUUCUGGGUGACGUGUAAAGCUGCCAGCUAUGGGGAGUGGGGUCCCAUGACAGGAAAAUGCUCUGAAAAAGGUCCGGGCAUGGUAGCCUGGAAGCUGGAGGUGUUGGAAAUGUCAGCAGUGGGAAGAGGAAAGAUAUAAUAGCAUGGAGCUUAUGGCAAGCCCAGUGGGAGAAUCCCAAAAUAGGCCUCUGGGAUGCCACAGCAGGGCCACGUUAUCAGUGACUGUGGAUUACGCACAUUUUGAGAAGCAGUUUAUGGCAUGUUACUAGGCUCUGGUAGAGACAGAACAUUCGACCAAGUUACACCAAGAGGGACAUCUGAAACUGCCCAUUAUGACUUGGGUUCUGUUGGAUACAUCAGGUCAUAAAAAUGGAUGGGCCUGACAGCAUCUAUAAGAUGGAAAUACUACUUCUGGGACUGAGCCUGAGUGAGUCCAAGCCCAAUGGGUAAACUGCAUGAGGACAGAGCAUUAAUAAUUUUUUGUAUUGAUUACAUGUUGAAAUAUUUUUGAUACACUGGGUUAAAUAAAAUAUCUUGAAAAUAAGAUGAAAUGUUAUUAAAAUUAAUUCCAUCUACUUCUUUUUACUUCAAAAAAGAUACAUUAUAGGGGUGCCUGGGUGGCUUGGCUGGUUAAACAUCCAACUUCAGCUCAGGUCAGGAUCUCUUGGCUCAAGGGUUUGAGCCUUGAGUGAUGCUCUGUGCUGUUGGUGCAGAGCCUGCUUCAGAUCCUCUGUCUCCCCCUUUCUCUGCCCCUCCUCUCUCAAAAAUGAAAUAAUAUUAAGAAACAUACAUUAUAUGGCUCCCAAUAUGUACCUAUUUUACAGUGCUGCUCUAAGCUCUAGCUCUUCAGCAAUACUGUCUUAUUCUUUGCUUAAUGCAUAGCUUCUGUUGCUGCUGCUGAAGGCAUUUCCCGGCUAUCAGCUUGAGACUGUUCAGAAAUUCUUUAUAGGAUGAUGGGGUUACUUAACAACUCUUAAAAGAACUUCCAAUGAAAUAUCUAGAAGUGUCCAUUUCUGUUGAGAAGCAAACCUGCCAUACCAUUCACAGUAUAAGCUCUAGCUCUGGAGGAGAGCCACUGGGAAGUGAGAAUAAAGAACUCGGGCCAAAGGGUUUGGGGAGUGAGACCUGUAUGAAUGUGCUCCUUUUGAGAUCUUCAUCUUUCAAGAGCCCAGCCACGGACAGGCUCUGUCACAGGUGCCAAGAUGGGGGGCUGGUGGCGGUCAAGCCUCUGACACAGUGCCAGGCCCUAGUCCUUCUUCCUUGGAGUCCAGUGUUUUUCUCCCCUUCAUAGCUAAGAUCUGAGGCAUGAAGGGCAUCUGGAUAUUCUUGUGCUCAACCCCUAAUCUCAGUUGUUUCCCCUGUGACUGAAACUCAGGGACACAGCAGGGGCAGAAUGGCAGGUCCCAGGACCAGCCAUUAGGAAGAGAGGCCUGGGACCAACCCUUGCCUGGAUCACAUGAGCCCUCUAGACUGAGAAGAUCUGAAGGCUCAACGGGCCCUUUUUGCCUGGCUCAGAGAGGGCUCCUGGAUAUCAACAGACUUAGAGGUUCAGCCCCGAGAUGAGAAUGUGCAUUCUGUUGGCUACAUGUUGAGAUGUAGCUAAGGUCCCCAAGGUAAACUCCAAGGGUUUAGCUAGAAGAAGUGUUGUCCAGAACUGAAAUCACUGAUCCCCAUUUGUGCUAUUUAACAAUUUCCUGAAGCAGAAAAACCAGCCACCCAACCAGAGUUCACUUCAUCCUGCUUAAAAUUCUCACAAACUGUCACAUACCAUAGGUGGCAAAACUGUGACCCAGAUGAUGUAAAGGACCUCACCAAUUUCACACAGCUCACUAGAGCACAAACAGUGGCUUCAGGUCUCUUACCUAAACUCUGCAGCAGCACGUCCAGAACCCAGAAGCUCAUGCCAGUUUGUCCAAUGUCUCUGGUAACCUUCUAUGCAAAGGGCAGUGAUGGCAUUAAUAGAACCAGGGCACCACAUGGGCUGUUUUACUCUUGAGCUUUUAGUCUCGUAUAUAAAUCCUGAAUGUUGCCUGCUUAGUGCUACGCACUACACGAUGAGUUUUAUUUCACAGUAAAUGAGGGAUGCUCUUUCUUAAGAAAUAAAUUUAAUUCGGGGUGGUUAGUGCAUGUAAGGCAUGUAACCUUUAUGAAAGUUAAAAGAAUCCAGUUAUAAAAGAAGCACUGUAUACAGUCUCAAAUCGCUGAAGGUACAAUGGGCUCCGUAUUUUACAAAGUACAAAAAAUUAUUUCAUAUACAAAGAAAAAAAUACAAAUAAUGUGCAAAAAUCAUUUUCACAGGUGGCAAUUUAUAAAAUGAAAAUGGUAGAAAAAUCCUUCAUUCUUAUUAUCCCCAAUUUCUUAUAUAUUAACACAGGUCUAUUUCCUAGCGUGUAGGUAAUUUUAAAUUUGAAAAUCUGAUUUAUUUUUCAUCUACAAAGACAAAGUGGUUUUUUUUUUAUUUUUUAAAAAGGGAACUAUUUUCAUUACUGAAAUCUUAUGCAUGAAUCAGUUACUUUUAUAUUAAAUUAUAAGUAGGCUAUCUGAAAAACAAGGAUAUAGAAAUCGUAUGUACAUAUUUUUGAAAUAUUAGUUUGGUAUUUAACAUAUUAACAUUUCAAAACGGCGAUCUAGCUACCUCUGACUCCAGUUGGGCUGCAAUGCCUGUAGCAGAGAUGCUGCUGCUCCUCACAGGGAACAAACAGCAUUCCUCGGAUCUUUAGCUGAACAAACACAAGGUUAUCAAAAGUAGAGAAAAUCUACAAACAGUUCUUACUGUUCACGUGCACAAGUGCUGUUUGGGUAUCUGAUUGUGCCACAGACACAGCCCCUGGUACAGGUGUAAUGUGCUUGUAGACAGCUGGCUUCUGUCUUUCCAACACCUUCACUUCAUUAGGAGUUCAGUGCAAGUGUUUGUGAGUUAGUGCAUUCAGCUUUUUGCAUGUUAUUCUGUGUAAGGAGCUGUCAGGGAACAGAAGAAUACACAGGAACACAAAGUCCUGGAUCCUCAGGGCACCUGUGGCCUAGAAAAUUCAGUGUUUUGAAAGUAGUAUUUUCCUGCAUUGGCCUUGUCAUUGUUGCAUCAUUCCCUGGACCGUCUUUCUCCUUCAGGAGAAUCCUGCGUGUUCCUCGUCUGCCACUGAGCACUCAUGUUCUUGCUGUGAUCCCCCAUGGCCGAGCAGGGGUUAUGGAAGCACCUUUUGGCAGCACCAGAUAGCUGAGCAUCUCUAAGGUCAGGCAGUAGGAGUAGGAGCUAUUCUGCUGGGAAAUCUGUUCUGUGCAGAACAUGAGAUAGUGUUGGCGGGGUUUUGAUUUUUGCUUGUCAGAAAGCUCUCCAAGGAAAUUAUGACCUUGGGGAAUAAAAAGGAUCUAGUUUCAUCAAGAAGGACUCAAGUAAAUAGAAACCAUUUAUCUAGGGGAUGGGUGACAGUUGGCUCAGGAAGCAUUCUUCUGAUCCCUAACCACUAAGACCCUGUUAGAACAACCUAGUGCAAGAUACAGGGAGUGCCUGGGGUUCUUGACCAGACCUCUGUGACAUAUUCAUUCAGGCUAAGCAGACAUAGCAAUUGUUCAAAGAGGGCACUGGGUAAGACUGGGCAGAAGAACCUCAGGCCUGGGAUGACUCCUCAGAACCAAAGAGGAAGCUGUCAGCUCCUCAAGGAUUCAUGCACUUUAUUCUAUCUGACAGCACGAGGCUUUCCUCCCUCUUUUUUGCUUGGGUUGACCAUGGGCAUCAGGCGUCAGAGAUACAGCUCUGGAUCCUGUCCAUCCACUGCUGGGCACUCUGUCCAUCCUGGGCACAGAAGUUAUACACACGUUUGCUGGUCUUGAGCUACAAAACCAAAUGAACAGAAGCAGAGAUGAAGGGCAGGCCUGUUUUAUGGCUUUGGGCAAGUGUGUGAAUCAAUCUCAGUGAACUUCCCCUCCGUACUGCUUCAAAACCUCUAUGUUUUCUCUUCCCUCCGCUACCAUACUGUCACUGCCAUUAUAGUCACUUUGUUUCUUUGGUCCCCAGAGUCACAGUAGAUGUUAAUAGAAUGACACUGGCAGAAAAAGGAGACAUACUAGGAGACCCUUACUCCUAAGGAGGAGGGUCAGGAGCCUCUCCCAUGCACUGCACCGGGAGCAGUGCAGUGCAGCUCCCUGGGCUCCUCAGGGAAGCCGGAAAUUCACCCCCACCAAGAAGUUGUCUUUCUUGUCCUGUUUCCAUCCCCUUCUCUAAAGGCUUAAGUUGGGGACACACUGGAUGCCCGGAAUCAGGUAAAUGGCCUCAUAGCCAGAGCAGAGCCCUUGAGUGUGGCUGUGCUCUUUAUGAAACCCUGCUUGGCUAUGGGAACUGGGUGAGAACCCUAUCAUGUGGCCCAUCAAAUGCCCUGAGGCUCACCUAAGGGCUGUUGAAGAUGUUAGGACCAACAGUCAUCAUAUAUGACUAAGGACAAUUUUUAUGGAUGGUCAAACAUGAAGACCACUGGAUCCAAAGGGAAGUAGUGUCUGUUCUUGAAUAGGUGGUGAAUAAAAUAACUAACAAUGUUUUUAUCAAGGAAUUCAUCUGCUUCCAUGUGUGGCUGGACACCCAGUAAAGGAGUCCUUUGUGCAAAGCAGCGCACCACAGCUUGGAGAUGGACAGUUUGGAGAUGUCAGGUUUGGGGAUCGAGUGCUAAGUUCAAGUUCUGGAGCAAUUUCCAUAGCCAAGGGGUUAUCAUCUGUCACCACCAAUUGCUCUGAGGCCCUAUAAUUCUUGGAGGUGGAUGGAUUGUAAGGAAUCAUGUACAGACAGAGCCAGGUUUUCUAGUGAGAUGUAGUGAGAUCAACUUACAUCAAAGAAAGCCUUGUCACUUGUGUGCUUUGGGGCUCCCAUGCUAGGGCCAGCAGGGAUGACCAUUUCUACUUCAGCCAGAUCAAUGUGGCCUUUACAGCUUGUGUCCUCACCUGAGUCAUAGUAUCGCAGCUGGAACCAAAAGGAUACAGAUGGGAAAUAAGAGACACAGAAAAGGAAAAUGGUAUGACUUUUCAAAAUGUAUUUGAAUACUUGCCUCUGUACCUUGCUAAACUGUCUGAAAUAAUAAGCAAGAAAAUAAAAACACUGUUGCUUUUCGGAAGGAGGACUAGGUGGCUGACAGAAAGGAGGAAAAAGACAUAUUUUUCUGAAAUUCGAAUGAAUAAAAGUAUUACAUGUUAAAAACUAAAACUAAAUGUCAGCUAACAAUUGGAAAAAAUAUAUGUAACAUAUAAAAGAGGUUGUUUAGAAAAAUAUGCAGAAUUCCUAGAAAUUGAUAAGAAAAAGAUAAACAAUUUAGUAGAAAAAUGGUCAAAAAAAUCUCAACAGGUAAGUCACAGAGGAAAUGCAAAAGACCUAUAAACAUUUAAAAAGAUGGGCAACCUCACUGAUGAAAGAAAAGGGAUGUAAUCAGUAAGAUUUCACUUUUCACUUAGAUUAAGAAAUAUUCACGGUGAGGGCAAGGCACUAGGUAUUCUCAAACAUUGCUAGUGGAAAUAUAAUUUGUUAGAAACUUUUUGGACAAUUUGGCAAUAUCAUCUAAAAUUUAAAAUGUUUAUGCCUAUUGAUAUAACUUCUCACCUCUAGAAAUGUAUCCUACAGAAACAAUCCCACAAGCAUGCAGAGAUACACAUAAAGAGGUUUCCUUCAGCACUGUUUUGAUCAGGUAAAAACUGAAAAGAUGUAUCUGUCUUUCAUUGGGGUGUUGGUUAAUUAAAUGAUGGUUAAUUAUAUCAAUGAUACAGACUACUGUAUAUAGCUUUUCAAAAAUUAUAAGGAAGAUCUAUAUGAACUGGUAGGAAAGUAUGUUCAAGAUAUACCAUAUAAAAAAUACAAGUUGCCAAACCACAUGUAAAUCUAAAGUGAUUUUUGAGGGGCACCACCCGGGUGGCUCACUCAGUUACAUGUCUGACUCUUGAUUUCAGCUCAGGUCAUGAUCUCAUGGGUUCGUGGGGUCAAGCCACACAUUGGGCUCCGUGCUGACUGUAUGGAGCCUGCUUGAGAUUGUCUCUCUCUCUCUCUCUCUGUCCGUCUUCGCUGCUUGCACUCACACACACACACUCUCUCAAUCUCUCUCUCAAAAUAAAUAAAUAAAUAAACAAACAUUUAAAUUGAUUUUUGAAAAACAAUAAAUAGCUCACCAUUUGACUGAGUGGUUAUCACAUGCCAGGACUGGAUAUCACUCUCUAACUAAAUGAGUCUGGAUUUCACUCUCUAACUUACACAGUAGGAAAGGGUCUGAUGCCUCUGUCACUGUGGUUCUGGCCUCAGACUUUUCUGUCUCUCCAGUCAGGCAUGGUAUAAGUAGGUCUAAAUGGAAAAACUAUAUACCUUUCGUGUUAAAUCCAAAAGAUCCGUAAGAAUGCAAGUAUAAUUUGGUGUAACUGUAAAUUACAGAAAAAUUAUGACAUUGUCCUAUGUUAUAUUUAGUGGUUUAAUGGAACUUUUCUCCACAGUGUAGGCUCUAUGAUUUCAGACACAUUGUUAUUUUAAAGUACAACCCCUUCCCCCCCCCCACCAAGGGCUUCCAUUGCAUAUUUGUAAAUAAAUUCUCUAUAUUCUUCCACAGAGACUGUGUAACUUUUAUGAAAUUCCCUGAGCAGAGGGAAAUGUGAUCCCCAUUUCAAAUCUGUAUCUGGAAAGAGUUUCCUAGGUGCACGUACGACCAGAGCACUGUAUAGGGGUACCAGUUUGUAUCUUUCUCAGCAGAGUCCAUUUUAGAAAUGAAUGCACUGAGAAUCAAGAUGUGUACCCCUCUGCCUCAGGCUGAGCAGUCAGUUCCAAGGUAGAGUGAGGUCCACAGUCAGAAUAUUUGGAGGCCAUGAGAAUGUCACCAUGGAAGUGUAUGGAGGGGCUGGAGGUUUGGGUAGGGAUCCCUCACCCCUGAGAUUACUGGAGCAAAGAUCAUGAUACUAAGAAUUGCAGGGGUUGCUGUAGCAAUAGCUAAGAACCUAACAAUGGACAAAGGACUUCCCAACAUGGCCAGUGAGGUUCAGGCUAGUACUUGCUCAGUGAGAAUUCCCUCUUUGAGUGGGUAUAGCCCCUUCUGCCUAUUUCAGGGCCCCCUCUCUCCACUGUUGCUCUCAUUUUGAGGGAAAAUGAUGCUUUCUUUAGUAACCAGUACAUGAUGAGCAAUAAAUGUUUGUCAAAUAAAUUAAUGCCCUCAGUUUUGAAUGUAUGCUUUAUGCUGCAAAAAUGAAGGUAAUCUGUAUUCUGAGGACUGCUCCCAAGCACAGGCUCUAUAUAUGCAUGUGGAAUGCAACCCACUGAAAAGCUCAGGUCCUCUCCUGGCCUGGGUUUUAAGAGUAGGCAGCAGAAGAUAUUUGAGCAUGAAAAGCAGAGUUCUAGUGCUCUUAAUGCUCUGGGCCCCAGUGUCACUGCCUCUGCCUGUAUAUAUCAGGCAGAGCUACUUUGGACCUUCCCUCGGAAGGCUACUGCCCUAACUCAGGGACAUGCUGAGUCCUUGAAGAAGCCCACAGGGAGCAUAUGUGAGGCCUUGUCUGAACAUGAGGGAUGUGUCUGUCUGUUUAGAGUUGUACAACAGCCAGGGACUGAGCCUGGCUUAGAGAAAAGUGAUUUCUGUAGGCUUUGACAGUAUUACCUGAUGUUUUGUUACAUCCAACACGAACCAACGGGGCUUCCAACCUUUCAGCAGAGCCCCCCUUUUGUAAAGUGUUCCUUCGAAGGACCUAGAAGAAAUGAUGACAGGUCAGUUAACUUUGGUUUUCAUUUAAAAAGUACUGUGAAGAGGAUGUCUGUUGUUUUUGUCUGUCAAGUCUCUCUUUCUCUCAGAUAGUCCCCCAAAAAGGCAAUCAGAAUUCUCUCCAGAAUUUUUCUACUAGACUUAUGGGGGAAAGACUGCCUCUUUCUGCUGGAAUUACCAAAUUUGUGAGGUUUGGAGCUCACGGUAGCCAUCUUUUGUGCCAUGUUGGGAAUGAUGCAACCCACAGAGGAAAGCAGAGCCAGCAAAUGAACAGAAGCUUGAAGAUACUAUGUGAGAAACUGGCACAUCCUUGGCCCUCCCAGUCUACGUGAGUAAAUUCCUUUUUGCUUGAGCUAGCUAGCACGAGCUGGCCUUCUGACGUGUGCCACCACAAAAGUGCUGACUAACAUACAUUCCCUCAAGAGAUCUGACAGACAUGAGAUAAUGAUAAUCAGGACUCAACCACAAAUAGCUAUAACCUCUUGGCAUUAUUUUAGUUGUAAUUUUGAUUUUUCCUCUUUAAAGACCCCUUUGACACAUCUAAAAUAGGAACAAAGAAAGAAUCGAGGCAAACCCAGUUACGUGGCAAACCCAUUUAAGUUUAUAGGAGGCAGUACCGCACAGGCCUGGCUGAUUGAAGGGCCUGUGGUGCAGCCGCAGGCAGGGCUCAGCGCGCCCACCUGUUCUCGUCAUUCUUGGUUGUGUACUGGCUGUACAGCGUGGCCGCUCUCCGGUCCACUCCAUUGGAUGGGGAGAUGCUGGCACUCUGCUCCUCCCCCGUGCUGCUGUCUGGCAGGUGCAGCAGAGACCUCUUCUGAUAGGAAGGCAGGUUGGUAGACACAAUUCCUGGGGAGCCUGAAGGGUGUCUCUGGGGCUGAAAAAGAACUAUACUUCAGGAAAAAACACACCCCUCCACCCCCCAAAAUAGAAGGUAAUACAUUUGCAUUUUAAGUGAAAAAAAAAAAAGAGCUAGGAAAGUUUUACAAAGAUUUUAUUGAGCAACUAAUCCAAUAAUUUCAUUUCUGAAAAUUUAUGUCAAAGAGAAAACUGGAGCAAAAUACACAAAGUAUAUGUACAAAGAGGUUUAUCCUGCAGUUGUUUAUAAAAGAAAAAAUUCAGAAACAACCUACAUGUCUAUCAUUAGGGGACUGGUUAAAAAAAUAUUUCCAUCAAUGGAAUUCUAGAAGCCAUUAAAACUACCAUGCUGGUUUAUAUACAGUGACCAAUGGGAGGCCAUGUAUGCCUCAUAGUAAGUAAAAAAGAAAGCAGGUUUUAAAAUAGUAUGUAUAGGGGCGCCUGGGUGGCUCAGUCGGUUAAGCGGCUGACCUCGGCUCAGGUCAUGAUCUCGUGGUCUGUGAGUUCGAGCCCCGCAUCGGGCUCUGUUGCUGACAGCUCAGAGCCUGGAGCCUGUUUCAGAUUCUGUGUCUCCCUCUCUCUGACCCUCCCUGUUCAUGCUCUGUCUCUCCCUGUCUCAAAAAUAAAUAAAACGUUAAAAAAAAAAUAAAAAAAAAUAGUAUGUAUAGGGGGAACCUGGGUGGCUCAGUAGGUUAAGUGUCUGAUUCCUGGUUUCAGCUCAGGUCAUGAUCUCACAGUUUGUGGGAUUCAGCCCCGAGUCAGGCUCUAUGCUGACAGUGAAAGGCCUGCUUGGGAUUCUCUCUCCCCUCUCUCCCUGCCCUUCCCCUGCUUGCUCUCUCUCUCUCUCUCAAAAUAAAUAAAUAAAAUAAAUAAAUAAAUAAAUAAAUAAAUAAAUAAUAGUUAGUAUGUAUGGCAAAUCCCUUUUAUAUGUAUGUUUUGAAUGAUACAAUAAGCUUAGUGGUUUAUUUCUAGGUUUUAAAUUGUGGGUGAUUUUUGUCCUCUGUUUAUAACUAUGUAUUGUCUUAUUUAAAAGAAUAAGUAUAUCUCACUUUCAUAACCAGAAAAAAUAUCAAGAAAGUAUUUUAUUUUUCUGAGAAUUAAAGCAGUAAGACAGCACCCACCUGUGGCCUGAUAGCAGCUCCAGAACUGCCAUUGGAAGGCAACAGCUAGUGCCCAGAGGAUCCCUUCUUACCAUGCCAGAGGCUUUCUUCUACACCCGAUUCUCCCUGCCCUGCUGUGACAUCGGACCCUGCUGACCUCUCCUUCUUUCUGAAAUGCUCUUUUGAACAUUCACAUCUGUCCUUCUGUUGCAUCUGGAGCUAGUGUGAUGUGGAUUUGAUGGUGCCUGUCCCCUCACACAUCAGAAGGGACACCACUCCCUCACUGUGGGGUAAGUGGGAGGCUAAAGUAUACAGGGUGCUCAGCACAGUCUUUUGCACGUAUUACAUGCCUGAUAAAAGUUUAAAUCAGAACAGAGAGGGGGGGUGUGAAAAACAGAAAACAGAGUGUUUUUAAAAUAUUAAAAAAUUUUAAUGUUGAUUUAUUUAUUUUGAGAGAGAGAGUACAAGCAGGGGAGGGCCAGAGAGAGAGGGAGAGAGAGAGAAUCCCAAGUAGGCUCCGCACUGUCAGCACAGAGCCCGACACUGGGCUCGAACUUGAGAACUGUAAGAUCAUGACCUGAGCUGAAACCAAGAGUGGGACGCUUAACUAACUGAGCAACGCACGUGCCUCUGUUUUUAAAAUAUUUUUAUGAUAAAUGUUUCUCAAUUCAGAAAGAGAAAAGGGGGUGUGAGCAACAGAAAGUAGCAUAAUUUGUCUUUUAAAAAUAUUUUCUUUUCUCUGGUUAUUUCUCUGAAGCAAAUACGGUCCGGGUGUUCCCCUCCCCACUCGUGGUAGAAAAUCAGCUGAAACCACAGAGACACAGAUAGAAAAGAACCCAGUAAUUUUCCGUGGAUGCGGGGCCCUGAAACACAAGUAUUAUGUCACUGCGGUGAAGUGAGACACUCAGGAACUAUUCAGUCAUUUGGAACUUUCUGCCCUGGACCUCCAGGGCAUGACCCCUCCCUUUCUACCCUUCUCUUUGGCCAUAAACUCACCUGGGUUACCUGUGGCAGCGGGCCCUACCUGACCUAGCACCCUCAAAAAGCUCAGAAGUAGCUCCUCAAAGGAUUUUACCAACUCACACGGUCUGUUCUGGGCUCUUCUUUAAGGUCCACAGUUACUCUUUCCCACAGCUGCUGCCACUUCUCAGAGGUUUGGUUCAAUUUAUGCUCCAAUCUUUCAAUUUCCUGCAAAGUAAUAAAAAGGAGUUUUCUGAUAGUAAGUAUUUCGUAGAAAUCAGGACGUGUCCCAGAGCCACAUCUCCUCUGUACUGGGCCCCAAUGGACAUCAUGGUCAGAGGGCAGCUGAAGUCAAUGGCCUCAGAGGUCUCCCAAGCCAGGAGCAGUGGUGUGAACUCUAGCUGGUAUGAUGCACUAUGGCAAAGAUGAUUUAUUAGGAUCUGUAAUCAGGCCUUUUUGUACAGAAUAGCUUAAAUAAAGACAUAAAAUAUGUAUCCCAAACACCUUCACCUUUGGCUAGCCCAGAGGGAAUCUGAUGGCCACCGCAAAAGGCCAAGCACUGGGCUGGCAUCCAAACCCUAGUAGCUGAGGUAGGAGUCUGUCCUUGACAGAGGAACCCCUAACUCUGCUGAUUUAAAACCAGAUGUGGAAAGAAUGAACCAAGAAAUGCACAAAGAAUGGAAUUUCCUCGGGACAAGGAAGCUGGGGAUCAGAGCAGCUGCCUCUGUGACGCCUUCACUGCAGCACACUCCUCCCAGUCACAAGACUGCACGAAGACUCUUCAGGAACUGCUUGGCCCGUAUCAGGGCUCAAACCCUUUCCUCAGGGCUGCUGCUCUCAGCAGGGUGGCUACUGCUGGGAUUGUUUCAGUUCAGAAUAUUCUCUGUAGAGACGCUGGCAGUAUUCCCAUCAGGCCAUCAACUACCCACACUUCUGACCAGAGGAAGUAGAGCACCCACAAAAGCCAUAACCCAGGCCUGACUCAGGCUGUUGGGCAGCUAAAACAGCUGGGAAGCUGCAAAUUGCUCCAUUUGCUUGAUUGCUUCCUCAUAAUGCCAGAAAACUUACUUUUUUGAGACCCUUUUCCAGUAGUUGAGCCUGGUCCCCUACUGUUGUUGAGGAGCAAAUUUGGUUUUCCUCAUUCUCCUGGAAUGCUACGUAUCACACUGGCUCAGAGUGAGGACAGCCAUGUCCGGAAGUAUGCGAACCACUUUUAAUUUAGCCUGGUUUCUGAGGCCUCGGGUACUACCAGGGCCCCUGUUGCCCUCUGUGCAUGUCUACACAGGCCUGACUUACACUGAAAAGGCUGGUGAGAGCAUCGGGCUGAGCACAGCUGAUAUCAUCAUAGCAGGGCCACACUGUUCUCCUCCGGCUCUGGGGGCCAGCUCCUCCAGCCACUUCAGAGUCCUCGGAGGGGAAGUGCUUGGGGGUUAGCAUCAUCCAGUCAUAUGAAGGGCCUGUGGAAAGGGUCUCUUCUGUGUAGUAAUCCCACUUCUUGAGGCUGGAGACAUUUACACUGGGCUUCAGGGCCUGUUCAAAGAAAAUUCUGAAAUAUAGUUUCAUCUUGACCUCAAAGUACCCCAGCUUACUGGCAGGUCAGCCCUUAACAUUUGCAGGGUCCAGGGCAAGAGCAUGAAUGGAGAUUCAAAUACCAUAUAUGUAAAUAUUUAGAUAUUAUACAUCAAGAUAAACUAUUAAAUAAAAUAUAUCUCUCCUCCUACCUUGGUAAAUAUAACUUCCUAAUGAUCUGGAAGACCAGGCUCAAACUGAGAAUUCUUGGACUCCUUGGAAUUCUAUACCAAGGCCCAAGGUGGCACUGGGAAAGCUGGUCCCAGCUCCCAGUCCUUGGCCUAAUCCCCUGCUCCUCUCACCUUGGCUCUGUCCUAUAUUCUGAGGUCUUUUAUGAAUGUGUAUAUAUAUAUAUAUAUAUAUAUGUGUAUAUAUACACAUAUAUAUAUAUAUAUGUAUAUAUAUAUACAUGUAUAUGUAUAUAUAUAUAUAUAUAUAUAUAUACCUAGUCCACAAAACUAAACUUGGUCUACUACCUGCCAAACAGCUACUUCUUAGGCACCCUUGAGGCUGAAGGGAACACGCACCAGCUUGGGAGACAGACUGGAAGAAGUAGCUUUGUGAGCAACUUGGAUUAGGCAAGAAAUUUUGGGUACAUGGUUUAGAUGAAGAAAGGGUAUCUAAGCACAUACCCUUGUUUCUUGUGGUCUUCAUUUUAUGAGGAGGGGAUAGUUGGAGAAAGGCCAGAAUGGGGUCCUAAUGCAUGGGACCCAGGGCAGGGGCAUUCCUGCCCCUGAGUAAGGUGAUACGUCUCACUUGUCAUCAAACCAGUCUGUUCCAUCCCAGAGCUUACUUCACAUAGAUGUGCAUCACAGAGCAUGGUUGCCCCUGAGACGUCAUUCUUUUGAGCUGGGCUCCAAACAUCCGGCGUUCCAUAGGGGUUCUUCCACAGCUUUGGUAUAAAUGGACUUAGGGAAAUCUUUUCUAAAGUAUUUUAGAUUUUUUCAGCUUAGAUAACCAGUUGAGGUUUCAAGUUUUGUUUGGUCUUUCUUCCUGGAGAAAGUUGCCUCACUUUGACUUUCUUGAAGUUAUCCCUCCUAGAUUUUGGGGGCCAGCUCCUAAUUUUUGUGGUCAAGAAUAUGAUGAACAGUCUGUAUUCCAUCAUAACCCAAACCCAUAGUGUAUAUCAAAUUUUUAAAUAGCUUCUGGUAUUUUAAAUAGCUUCCUAAUCCAAUGUUUAUAAAAAGCUUAAACAGCUUAUAUAUACUUAAAAGUAAGGAAAACUUUAACACUAGAUACUCAGAAAGUGAAACAUAAAUGCUUUCUUACUGUACCUCUAUUUCCAUUGGUGAAUAUAAAUAAUUAAAGAAAAUGGGACUCCUCUUGUGCAUUCUAUCAAUACACUCCCAAAUACAAAUUCCUUUUUUGGCAUGUUUGUCUCCUUUAUCGUCAAACAACGUUCCUGUAAAUCAACCCCCCCCCCCAAAAAAAAAAAAAAUCAACAAAAGUCAAAUAAAUCAACAGUUUGCCUAAAACUAUGAUGCAUGUACCAGAUGAAAAGCAAAAUAUAUCUUACAGCUCUCAGAACAGCAAUGUAUGUGCAGAAACCUUAGGUGGUGACCGCAAAGCUAAGGAUAGGAAUGAACUUCACAGCUGUAUGGAAACAAACCCAAAUGGAAGGAAAACAUCUGGUAAGGUUUUCCCAAGUAUUUAGCAGCACAUAGUGACUCUCUUCUAAUCUAUAUCCUACAUCUAUAUCUAGAUUCACAAAGCUCCAUGCCAGGAGUCAUUCUACAUAUUUUUCAGGAGAAAUGGGAAGGACUUAGAGUUAUGUGAUGAAGUUCAGUUAAAAACAUAAUUUUAUGUUUCUUUUUUCAGUCAUUGGCUGUUCAUUAUGAAGCCAUUUAAAGUGUUUUCUUAUUUAGUAAUUUAUAUACUGCAAAUCAUGGUCAUGAAGACUUUGGAUGAUAGAAGGGUGUGGUCUGUAUCCUUGGGUGACUUAACAAAAGCCAAAUGUAGUGGGUGGGGGAGGUGCUUCAGGGAGUUUCUGAUCCUAUCUUUGCACCCAUCAAACAGUCAAUGUGUCACUCACAUGAGCUCACUUUUUUUUUAAAAAUAAGCUUUAAAAACAAAAGUUUUAUUAUUUAUUUUGAGAGAGAGACUGUGUGAGCAAGGGAGGGGCAGACAGAGAGGGAGAGAGAGAGAGAGAGAGAGAGAGAGAGAGAGAGAGAAUCCCAAGCAGGCUCUGUGCUGUCAAUGCAACACCCAAUGCAGGGCUCGAUCUCACAAACUGUGAGAUCAUAACCCAAGCCAAAAUCAAGAGUCAGAUAUUUAACAGACUGAGCCACCCAGGCACUCCUUCCACUCCUUCUUCUUCUCCUUCUCCUCCUCCUCCUCCCCUCCUCCCCCUCCCUCUCCUUCUCCUUUUUUUUUUUUUUUUUUAAGUAGGCUUCACACCCAGUGCAGAGCCUAAUGCUGGGCUUAAACUCAUGACCCUGAGAUCAAGAUUCAGAUGCUCAACUGACUGAGCCACCCAGUAGCCCCAGGAGGUUAUUUCUUUAAAAGGCCAGGAAGGGUGCCUUCCUUAGCAAUGCUGUCUUGCUUUGAAUGAAAUGACUCAGUCAAAAGUCAAGAAGCAUCUUAUCAGUUUAUCAGAAAAGAUGGUCUCAAGCCCAACUCUGCACAAAAUCCUGUAAGAGGCCCCCAAGACUAAUUAGUGUUUCUAGUCUACCUUUUAACUGCAGAGUCCAGUGUGGUAGUUUUCAACCCUGGCCACACAUUGGAAAAAUCAAGGGCUUUAAAAACCCCCAAUGCUUAGGUCUUGCCUCAGACCAAUUAAAUCAGAAUCUCUGAGGAUGAGUCCAAGCAGAUAUUUUAAAAGUUCUCCAAGUGACUCCAAUGUCUCUUGUAACCAGCUUUCCUUCAUAUCUUCCCAAACCAUGGGUGCU